rnacentral:lncRNA from 1 species
CCCCAAAGAGCCCAAGGUUCCCAGAAAACGUUAUAGGCCCAAACGUUAUAGGCCAAAAUUUAAAAAUAGAGGACCCAAAGUGAGGGGCUCCAAACGAAUUUUUUGUUCUCUUUUUUAGCGCGGGGCUCUAAAGAGUCCAAGGCCCCGAAAAGCGAAACACCAAACUAAAAAAAACGCGAGGCUCCAAAGUUAAAAUUAAAAAGGCGAGGCUCCAAAAGCAGGCCUGCAAACACACAAAAUUUUUUAUUCCUUCUUUGGGCAAGGGGCUCCAAAAAGCGAUCGCAAGGCCAGAAAAUCAUAGGGUUCAGAAAAUUUCAAAAUUUGCAGCGAACUGUUACAUACUAAAAGAUCGUUGAAAUUCGUGGAAGACGGCAGAAGCCUUAUAUGGACGCUAUCAUGUUUAGCUAUUUUUCCACUGUAAAUAAAAAUAAUGUUAAUUGUAUAAAGUGCGUUGAAUUUCAGUUUGAG